rnacentral:rRNA from 1 species
UCAAGCUACUAAGGGCAUACGGCGGAUACCUAGGCGCCAAGAGCCGAAGAAGGACGCGAUAAGCUGCGAAAAGUCAUGGGGAGCCGCAAGUAGGCAUUGAUCCAUGAAUAUCCGAAUGGGGGAACCCAGCAGUCGUAAUGGACUGUUACCCAUACCUGAGAGCAUGAGGAGGUAGACCCGGGGAACUGAAACAUCUAAGUACCCGGAGGAAAAGUAAUCAAUUGAGAUUCCCUAAGUAGCGGCGAGCGAACGGGGAAGAGCCCAAACCAGCCAACUUCGGUUGACUGGGGUUGAGGACUGACACAAAUCAGAAAUGGCUUAGCUGAACGAUCUGGGAAGAUCGAGCGUAGAAGGUAAAACUCCUGUAAGCAAAAAGCUGCAUCUGAGGGUCAGGAUCCAGAGUACCACGAGACACGAGGAACCUUGUGGGAAGCAGGGGGGACCACCCUCCAAGGCAAAAUACUCCUUGGCGACCGAUAGCGCAUAGUACCGUGAGGGAAAGGUGAAAAGAACCCCGGGAGGGGAGUGAAAUAGAACCUGAAACCGUAUGUCUACAAGCAGUUGAAGACCCUUAUGUGGUCAACAGCGUGCCUAUUGAAGAAUGAACCGGCGAGUUACAGUAUAUAGCGAGGUUAAGUAGAAGAUACGGAGCCGAAGCGAAAGCGAGUCUUAAUAGGGCGAGAGUUAUAUAUUGUAGACCCGAAACCGCAGUGAUCUAUCCAUGACCAGGUUGAAGCGCAGGUAAAAUUGCGUGGAGGACCGAACCCGUGAACGUUGAAAAGUUUUGGGAUGAGUUGUGGAUAGGGGUGAAAUGCCAAUCGAACGCGGAGAUAGCUGGUUCUCCCCGAAAUAGCUUUAGGGCUAGCCUCAAGUGAUAAGUAUAGACGGUAGAGCUCUGAUCGGGCUAGGGGGCGUAAAGCUUACCGAACCCAGUCAAACUGCGAAUGGCUAUACUGAUAGCUUGGGAGUCAGACUGCGAAUGAUAAGAUCCGUAGUCAAGAGGGAAACAGCCCAGAACGCCGACUAAGGUCCCCAAUGCUGUGCUAAGUGGCAAAGGAUGUAAAACUUCACAAACAACCAGGAUGUUGGCUCAGAAGCAGCCACCAUUUAAAGAGUGCGUAAUAGCUCACUGGUCGAGAGGUUUUGCGCCGAAGAUGUCCGGGGCUAAAGCACAGAACCGAAGUCGCGUCAAGAUAUUGAAAAAUAUAUCUUGGGUAGGGGAGCGUUCUAUACACGAAGAAGGUAUACCGUGAGGAGUGCUGGAGAGUAUAGAAGUGAGAAUGCCGGUAUGAGUAGCGAAAAGAACAGUGAGAAUCUGUUCCACCGAAAGCCUAAGGUUUCCUGAGCAACGAUCGUCGACUCAGGGUAAGUCGGGACCUAAGCCGAGGCAAAGAGCGUAGGCGAUGGACAACUGGCAAAAAUUCCAGUACCACCAAUAAUUGUUUGAGUGAUGGAGUGACACAGAAGGAAGUUCGAGCAUACUGAUGGAAUAGUAUGUCUAAGCUUGUAGGGUGAGAGACAGGUAAAUCCGUCUCUUGAAUACCUGAGGAGUGAUGGGUAUCUAAGGCCUUGGCCGAAGAGAAAUCGAAUGGACCACGCUGUCAAGAAAAGCUUCUAGCGAGAUUAGAGGUGCCCGUACCGCAAACCGACACAGGUAGGCGGGGAGAGAAUCCUAAGGUGCGCGGGAAAACCCUCGUUAAGGAACUCGGCAAAAUGCAUCCGUAACUUCGGGAAAAGGAUGGCCAUUGGUUGUGAGCUCUCAAGCAGAGCAAAGCGACUGAAGGCGACAGAAGAGAGGCCCAAGCGACUGUUUACCACAAACACAGGUGCCUGCUAAAGAGAAAUCUGACGUAUAGGUGCUGACACCUGCCCGGUGCUGGAAGGUUAAGAGGAGCGUUUAGAGUUAAAUCGAAGAUGUGAAUUGAAGCCCCAGUAAACGGCGGCCGUAACUAUAACGGUCCUAAGGUAGCGAAAUUCCUUGUCGGGUAAGUUCCGACCCGCACGAAAGGUGUAACGACUUGGGCACUGUCUCAACGAGGGACCCGGUGAAAUUGAAAUACCUGUGAAGAUGCAGGUUACCCGCGACUGGACAGAAAGACCCCAUGGAGCUUUACUGCAACCUGACAUUGAAUUUUGGUAAAUGAUGUACAGGAUAGGUGGGAGACUGAGAAUAUAGAACGCAAGUUUUGUAGGAGUCAUUGUUGGGAUACCACCCUUCAUUUACUGGAAUUCUAACUGUAAGAGUAACGAAAUUCAAGACAGUGUCAGGCGGGCAGUUUGACUGGGGCGGUCGCCUCCGAAAGAGUAACGGAGGCGCCCAAAGGUUCCCUCAGCGCGGACAGAAAUCGCGCGAAGAGUGCAAAGGCAGAAGGGAGCUUGACUGCGAGACGGACAGGUCGAGCAGGGACGAAAGUCGGGCUUAGUGAUCCGGUGGUACCGAGUGGAAGGGCCAUCGCUCAACGGAUAAAAGCUACCCUGGGGAUAACAGGCUAAUCUCUCCCAAGAGUCCAUAUCGACGGGGAGGUUUGGCACCUCGAUGUCGGCUCAUCACAUCCUGGGGCUGAAGUAGGUCCCAAGGGUUGGGCUGUUCGCCCAUUAAAGUGGUACGUGAGCUGGGUUCAGAACGUCGUGAGACAGUUCGGUCCCUAUCCAUCGCGGGCGUAAGAAACUUGAAGGGAGCUGCUCCUAGUACGAGAGGACCGGAGUGGACGAACCAAUGGUGUACCAAUUAUUCCGCCAGGAGUACAGUUGGGUAGCUACGUUCGGAAAGGAUAAACGCUGAAAGCAUCUAAGCGUGAAACCAGCCUUAAGAUGAGGUUUCUCAUAGAGUAAUCUAGUAAGACCCCUUGAAGAAGACAAGGUUGAUAGGCCAGGAGUGUAAGUACAGUAAUGUGUUCAGCUGACUGGUACUAAUAGGUCGAGGGCUUGACUUA